rnacentral:rRNA from 1 species
UACAGAGGGGGCAAGCGUUAUUCGGAAUUAUUGGGCGUAAAGGGCGCGUAGGCGGCUUUGCAAGUGACGGGUGAAAUCCCUCGGCUUAACCGAGGAACUGCCUGUCAGACUGGAUGGCUUGAGACCAGGAGAGGUGAGUGGAAUUCCCAGUGUAGCGGUGAAAUGCGUAGAUAUUGGGAGGAACACCAGUGGCGAAGGCGGCUCACUGGACUGGUACUGACGCUGAGGCGCGAAAGCGUGGGGAGCAAACAGG